rnacentral:lncRNA from 1 species
UUUUUUUUUUUUUUGUCAAAUAUUUUCUGGGAGUUUAGAAUUGGGAUUAACUUGCGGUUAAAGCACCUGCCGCCACUGACUCGGGCUUUUAGUCUUGGCUUUUGGGGUAAUUUACGAGGAGGAGAAUUUUUUUUUAACAUAUAUGACUUACUGGUUAAUUUCAAAUCUUAAAUCGACCAUUGUUAUUCGAAGUUGAGGAGGUAAUUUUGUGAUUUGUGUGCUUGGCAAGGAUUAUGCAGAAGAGGUUUGACGUUUGUUGGAGGUAACUCAUAACAAGAUUUUUUGCAUGUGAUUGCAAGCUAUGAAUGAAUGAUGUGUUCUUUCUUUCGUGGGGUCUUUUCAGCGCUUUGAGGGAUUCACAAUCAUGUUUUCUUGUCAUUGCAAACUCUUCGGCGAUGGUAUGAUAGUUACCUUGUGUGUCUUGACAGUGUUAUGUUUGAUGACUCAUAGGGCUUAGGCCUUGUGAGUUUAUCUUUCAUGUGAUCGAGGAAUCAUACAUUGAAGAGUUUAUUUUGUACUGUGUUGUGAUUUUGUUGUCUGUUCGCUUAGCAAAAGACUAUAGGAACAUCUUCGAGAUGUCUCAUACCAAGGCUUCUUGCCGAAUAAGCGUUGUCUUUUACAAGUUCAUCAUCAACACAUGGUGUAAGGUUUUAUCUUCGUAAGAGUUACCUUUCCGUUUGGUUAGAUGGGUUUAUGUGGAGUAAGUUUUAAUUUUCUUUCUGUUGCGUUUAUAAACAUAAAAUUGUAUUAAGAAAGUGUGAUGUUCUUUGUUUUAUUUGAUCAAUGAAAGACUUAUCACUUCUAAAAAAAAGAAAGGAAUUGGGGUCCUUAGUUAAAUUGCCCUCUUGGUUGUAUAAAAUUACAAGGGUAGGGACUAGGGUUGGUCAUGAGAUUAGCACAGUUUCUAUAAGUAGAGAGUGAUGUCAAAAGGAUGCUUGUAAAAGGGGGAAGAACUGCUAAACUUGGCAAGCCAUUUCAUGGAUAAUGGGAUUAUGGGAAUGGGAGACCCACCUAAGCAUGAUCAUGAUCAUGAUGGUACUACUAUUUUAUAUCAACCCCUUUUUCUGGGGGGUGCUAAUAUUAAUAUAUGGUUCCAAUUAUAUUUUCCACUUCCCCCUUGUGUUUGUUGUGGGAGAUUUAUUUACUAUUUAUUUUGUUUGUUUUCUGAAUAUAAUGGGUCCACCAAUUGAUUUUGUAACUAAUUAAUUAGUAUUUAAUCUCAAUUUUUAUCAUGAUUAAUCAUGAAACAGAUAGAAGUUUGCUUUUUAAAGAAUAAAAUGUAGAGAGUAUCAUGGAUUUGAUUUGCUAUGGAAUUAAAACCAGAACACAGAAAUGUGAAAACCAUUAACCAUUGGAAGAAGGCAUAUAUAAAAAAAGAAUGUUUAAAAGCAAAUCCUGGAAGCCACGCAGUACUACUAUCUGGUGCUAUUCAUCUUCACUUGUAAGUGAGAGAUCUUAGGUUCGAAUCUUGUGAAUGAUGAAUUCGAUACCAAAUUAGGUUGCCUAUUGUGUGGUUUAGCCGAACUCUCCCUCCCCUAGUAUGAAAUAUAUCGGUGUACCAAAAAACAAAGAAAAAAAAAAGCAAAUCCUGGAAUAAUUUGGACUUACCAAAGAUGUUAGGAACUUAACCUUCCUUAGCCUUGAAGGUUUUGGUCACUUAUGCUUAAACUUUAGGGGUCUUUUAGAUGUUAGAUUAGACUUUAAGAGGUAUACGGCCCUAUAUAUGCUAAUGUGCUACCUUUGGAUGGAUUCCACUAGGUAAAAGGAACUCUGAGUACUUUUUUAAAUGGAAUAAAAAGUCACAAAAUGCUUCUCCUUACAAAGUUACCCCUGGAAAGAACACAGAAAAGCUGAAAAAUAGCAUGCAGAUAUUUGUGAAGAUAAGUAUUAGAGCGAAGAUAAGAACUACGUUUUUUUUUUCCUUUUCAUUUCUGACAUAUCUUGCGUUUACUAAUAUACUAAUAUGAAAAUAACAAAUAUUUAAUACGACAAAGAAUAUUUUUCUUCAUUUAUAAUAAAAUUUUAUAUCCGCCUAAUUCUAUAAAUAAUAUGUUUGGCUCAUUAACCCUAGAAACGCAUACAUAAAACCAAAAGUAAGAAGAGUCCGAAUUUUUUAUUCUAAUUGCGACCCCCAAAAAACCAAACGAAAUCUGUCACAUACAAUUCACAUUGCUAAAACUCCAAUUGUUGGACACAGAUUUUUCACAUGCAUGAAAGGGUUCAUGUCACUCAAGCAUCUCCACUCCCCAGACAAAAUCUGCAGGUGAAUUGUAAUUUAUGGGGGACAAGGAUACUUUCGAGAUUCUUUUUGUAGGGAUUCGAUGAUCAAUUAAUUUUGUUCGUUUAUUUUAUAUUAUACGAUCAAUUUUUAUUAGGUAUUAAUUAUAUUUAAUUUUAAAUUAAAAUUAUUUUGUGGGGAUUCGAUGAUCAAUUAAUUUUGUUCGUUUAUUUUAUAUCAUAUGGUUAAUUUUUAUUAGGUAUUAAUUAUAUUUAAUUUUAUAUUAAAAUUUUUAAAUAAUUUCUAAUUAUAUGUUGUACGAUAAACAAAUACUAUUAAUUGAUCAUUCAAAUCUCUCACAAAGAAUAUCAGAAGGGAUCCUAUUCCAUUUAGGGGGAGAGAGAUGGGGUAAAUUUCAGAGACAACAAAAUGUGAAUAAUUGGGACCAGAAGAGAGUGGGUGGCUGAUGAACUUGCAACGUUUUCUUUGCACUUUUGGCACUUUGCAGGCACAUUGUUCAAAAUUUGGCCCAACUCCAAGGGCAGGGAAAAUUCCAACGAACAAAUAAGAAGAAAAAUAUAAAAUUGGAAUGCAUGAAUGAAGAGAAAUGGAAACGUGGCAGGGUGCGGGAGGAGGUGGUGCGUCGCUACAGUGCACGAGAGAAGGCACGUGGAAAAGAGUAGCCAUGAAAACUGCAACAAGCAAGCUAUAAUUAAGGAUGGAAAAAAAUUCUCAAAAAUUCCGAACCAAAUUGAAAAAAUAUCGAUCCCAAACCGAUUUUCCUAAAAUUUUCGGGAUGCUAUCCUGAAAAAAUACCGAAAUUUCGGUACAAAAAUCGGGAUUGUCUUCCCAAUAAUGAAAAAAUCAUGUUACUUUAUUUUUCAUCCCUGCAACAUAAAGAUAUGAAUGAUUAUGAUAUGUGUUAUGUGUUAUUCUAUUUCAUUGAUAGGAAUCACUUUUAUUGGAAGUAACACAAACACCAGUGUCAAAGUUGUUGAAGAAAGUAAAGAACAUAAACACCAUAAGUGUAAUGAGUAUUUGACAAAAUCACAAAAAGGUAUGUAACUUUUGUAAUAGGUUUGCCUUCUAGUGUAUUCUUAAAUGGUAAAACAACUCCGUUCUAUAGGUUAUAAACUUAUAAAUGCAUCUCAAUACCAAAAAAAAAGAUAUCAUAUAAAACUUAUCCGCGGUUGCACUGGUGGUUGUUUAAGAGUUUAAUGUUGUCUACCGAUAUCGUUUGAUCAAUUCAUGCAUUAUUCCUUCUACCUCCUCAACUUCAUGCCAUGUAACUCAUCGGGAGUAUGAAGUUGAAACUAGUAAUGGAAGAACAAUCACAAAACGAAGGAAAACAAGAAGCACAGUAAUGUUUGAAGUAUGUACCUGAUUAUUUCAGUGAAAAUAUAACAGCUAUGGGAAUUGGGAAUACAGAAUCACCAAAAGCCCAAAAAUAUUUCGGGAUUCCCGAUUGUUCCGAAAUACCGAAACUAUUUUGGGAUUUCCGAAAUUUUGGUUUGAGAUCGAUCUUGAAAUUAAGAAUACCGAAAAUUUCAGUUUGGGAAUUGUCUCUAAGAUUUUAGUUCGGUAUCCCAUACCGAACCACCCCUAGCUAUAACUAAUAAGUAGAUAAUAUAAUGACGUUAAAAUGGUACAUACAAUAUAUAUAUGUUAUUGCAAGGUAUUGAAUCAAGUAUCCGACAAGACAAGCGAUGGCGUAAGCUGACGUGGGUUUGCUGGUUUGAUCCCCGACUGCGCCUGCAAUCUGCAUGCUCACCCAUGCAUCCCGGCGCAAUGCAGCCCUCCUCUCUUUUAACUUAUUUAAUCGCUUCCAAAGUCCGCCGCCCUUUCCUGCUUCCCCGGCGACUCUUAUCAUCCUGCAAUCCACAAACCUCCUCUCUUUUAACUACAAUUCUUGUAUAUGUUUAUUAGUGUUGUUGUGCCACUAUCACUUAAUUACUAUCACUACGUAUGUAUGAUAACUAGGAUGUUGUCUUGUAUUCAUUGUCUUUCUUCUUACGUUGUCGGACUAUGAAUCUAAAUUAUAUAUGCAUCAUAUUAAAGUUAGAUAAUUUAACAACAUAACAUGUUAAAUUCAACAACAAUAUGUCAUCAAUAUCCCUUUUAUUGAAUCUAAAAUAUUCAUUGAGUGGACAUUUAUUUGAAUGUGUAUAUCCAUAUAAAUACUACGACAAUACAAUAUUAUCAUUCAUUGAAUUGGUGAAUCUAAAUUGUUCAUAAGUUUGAAGAUUAUUUGAAUAGUUUGCAUGGAAGUAAAUAAUUCAGAUUUACAUACAUAAUUUAACAGCAUAGCAUGUCAAAUCCUGCAUCAACAUACAUUAUCAUCAAUUAAGCAUGUUAUAUGAAUCCAUUGGCAUUGAAUUUCAUGGACAUUGUUACAACUUACAUCAAUACUUUGACUAGAGGAAUGUAAUUGUAAAAAAUUUCACAUUUUGGAUUUUUAGAGGGUUAAACUUCAAAGUGUGGUUGGAGGAGAGAUUUGAGUUUUUUAAUUUGCUUGUAUGACAAAUGAUAUAAACACAUCCAAAUCCACACUUAAUUUCAACACAUUCUUAAACAAAAGACAAGAAAACAGGAAAUCCAGGAUUUCUUCCAUUUUGGCAUGCAUGCUCAUGUUCUAUUGGAAGAGAGAGAGAGAGAGAGAGAAUGAUCACCAAUUAUGGAUCAUGCACCUACUGGCAAAUAAAUGAAAUAAUAUAUUGAUUUUUUAGUCAAAAUAGUAUCUGAGAUUGAUGUAAUUCUUCAGUUUAGUCCUUAAUGAUGAAAAUCGAUUGAAGUGGGUCAUGUGUUUGUUCAUCGUAAAUUAUUUUAGUAUUUUGUUAAAUUUUCUAUUAGUACGAUGACGUGGGACAUGAGUAGUCUCAAGGACCAUUAAGUAUGAAACUGUCAGCAAAGGGCUCAAACCCUGACAAUACCACACAGGCAAUGGAGUUCGUGAAUUGUGAUGGUCUUUGUUAAUUGUUUUUUAUACAUGUUAAUGUCUUACAUUUUAGAAAAAAAGAGCUACCCACUUGGCCCCCUUGUAUGCUUAAUUAAAUUUAAUAAACCCAAAACCGCUAAAACCCCAUAGUUUGUCAGAAAGAUUACUAACUAAUUGUUUAGGUUUUGAUUAUAAUUAUUAUAAUUAUCAACCUUACUUUAUGGGCCUUAAUUAUUAAAAUGUCCCACAUCAAUUCCCUAACCCUUCUUUCCUUGAAGCUUCUUAGUGUUCUUCUGCACCUCUCCCAGUCGCCCACCAAAAACAGUCGUGCAUGUAUCCCUCUUAAAAUAAGUGCUUCAAUCAUGCACUUUUUGACCCCAAAAAAUAUGUCUAACACCCAAUGCCUUUGUGUUUUUUAAUCAUUUAGUUAAUUUUUUAAAAGAAACAAUAUUUUGUGUUUUUAAUCAUUUGUCAUUAAAAAACUUAAUUAUUUUGACAAAUGACCUUUUUCUGUUCCUUUCUCACCACCAUCUCCCUUUCAAAUCUUUGCUGGCCUUUUUGUCUGUUUAUGAGUUCAUGUUGGAAACAUAUGUUGUUUUGGGCUCUGCUUUCAUUUGGGCUAAGGCCUAGAUGUAUAUAUAAAUACAAGUACUCUUUACGUAAGACGUCCGUUCUUUAUUAAAGAAAAAAUACGGUUACGGUGUUACUGACACAUUACCGACUCCCCGUUCUCUAACCUGUGCUUCAUAGCCGGACUAUAUGUAAAGAAAGAAUAUAUUCAGAUUCUUUGUAUUUCGAUAAAGAACGGACCUCCGUUCGUUCAACAUAUAAAAGAAAGAAUAUAUUCAGAUUCGGGAUCAAUUUUCUAAUAAGAAAUUAUUAUUUUGAAUGAGUUAUGAGAUUUGCAUUCUUUUAUUUCUGGUUUGGACUUUAUUUUCUUCUGUUCGGUAAAUUAAUUGAAUUUUGAGCAGAGAUGUUGGCAACACAAACAAUGAACCCCACCAACCGGAUAAAAGCAAAUCCUACUCAAUUAUGUGUGGAUUAUGAAUUCAGACAAAACCCUGGAAAAGAAUCCGAUCUAACUAAUACUUAAACCCUAGUUGUUAGAUUUGAACAUUUUUAAAGGUUGGACAACAUAUCGCUUUAGCAUUAUUUUUAUCAGUGCAGAUUGCAGAAAGUUGAUAAAAAAAAAAGUAGGGUAACGUCAUUACCAUGAAAGUUCUUGAUGCAGAGCACUCUAUCCAUGCAUGGCUGUCAGGGCCCCACCUCUCUUUAGCUCCUUAAGAUUUGGAAAGACUCGAGCUUUGGUCAAAUAGGUUCUGCAAUCUGCAUAAUCAAAGAAUACAAAGAAUGCAGUACUAAAUAAUUGAACAGAUUUUCAACAAAUACAAAGAAUUUGUGUCCCCUACUCGUCCUAUGAAUUCAACAGGAUGAUUGAGAUCAUUAAAAAUAUAGAAGAAAUGAGAUACCUUAGAUUGGAUGUGGCUUUCCUUCUUCUUUCCUUGCAAGAUUGGAUCUUGGGUUUUGGCUUUUUGUUGAACUGCAGCAAAAGGAAUGGAUAAUGCCCCUUAAUCCAAAAAUAUUUCAGUAAAUCAACACACAAUCGGAUAGAAUAAAAAGGAACAAAAUAUUACUGUUAAUACUUCAUAGUAGUCCCUACAUCCGAUUCAAUGAAACUUGUAUGGAAGUUUUAGUUGUUCCCAUCCGUAUAUAUAUGCCUAUUAGCUGCAGUUUGACAUGAAGUUCUGAAGACAUGAAAAGGAAAACAGAUUAUUAUUCUCAAGAAAAAAAUACAGAAAGAAAUGGCCAUAGCUGGUUAAAAACUUACCCAGAAAACAAGGCGACCUGCAUGUUCGAUGUGCAUCCUUGAUCCUUCCAAGUUUCAUUACUCCCUAACAGUUCGUACAGUAGUAUUUUUUAUGGAUUUUCAUUGUACUUUUUCCAAUUUUCGAACUCGCCAAGUAACCUAUUAGCAACGACCAUGAUGCAUCAGUCGGUAUUAGGUUCUCUCUGCCUGGUUGACAUGCUCUCGAACUAGAGAGAAGUCUGAAUCCAGGUGCUCAAGCUUUGUUUCGCACACUUAAUCAAGGCCCCUGAAAGGAGGAAACCUUUUGGUAGAAGACAUUUCUACUUGCUAUGUGAUCAUAUGGUGUAUAUCCUACUUCAAGUUGCAGUAAAUUUCAUGUUAGCUAUAAUUUCAAUGAUAAUCAUAUGCUGUAUAUCCUACUUAAAUCAACUAAAAUUUCAAUGAUACUUUUAGUUUCAUAUUAUCAGUUGCAAGUUACGUUCUUGGCACCUUUACCUUUCACACACUCAACUUUAGAACUCAAAGGAGUAAGUUUCCAGUUCUAUUGCCUAAUACCUUGUCAAAGUAAGUAACCAAAAAUUAGAUCAACACUUGUAACGUUGGUCUGAUGGUGCUAAUGACUUGACAUUUAAACAAACCUUUACCUUCAAUUCCAAAAGCAAAGUAGUUAUUUUUAAUUAAGGUGAGUUUCUCCCGACUGGGUUUGGCAUGGAAAACAGAAGCAGGCAUUGGCUACUUGCAAGUCACUUCAUAUAAAAACAAUUAAAAGUAUAUAUAAUUAUCAGAGUGUAACGGUUCUAACUUACAGAUACAGCAGAACUACGAUUCUUCUAUAUCCAAAAUCGCACUUGGAGCAUACCCAGUACGCCUCAGAUGAUCUGUUAACUGAUCAAGCAUGGAGUAUAUACUGCUUGAAGUUUCAUGUCUCUUGUCAUCAACCAUAAAUUCGUAAACACGGCCAUCAAUUUCGAUCGAGCUCACUGCUCUACUCUUUAUGGAUCCACCGUCUUUUAUUAGUUUCCUGAUGUUCUUAACAUCCUCCCAUCUGUGCGCUUCACCAAAUAUGUUUGCUAGAAGUACAUAAAGUCCAGAACCAUGCAGUUCCAACUCCAACAGCUGCUUUAGAAUCAGCUUUCCCAAAUCCACAUUUCCAUGGAUCCGACAAGCACCAAGUAAAGCACCCCAAAUGACAACAUCAGGCUUCAUUGGCAUUCCUCUUACCAGCCUCAUUGCUUCUUCUAAAAGUCCCGCUCGCCCCAGCAGAUCUACCAUGCAAGCAUAGUGCUCAAUUUCAGGUGAUAUUCUGUAAGUAGACUUCAUUUUUUCAAAGUAAUGUCUCCCUAAGUCUAGAAGACCACUGUGACUGCAAGCAGAAAGAAGUCCGAUGAAGGUGAUCUCAUCCGGCCAGAUUCUACCUGCUUGCAUCUGUUCGAAUAUCCCGAUUGAUUCUGAUCCGCGACCGUGCAAUGCAAGGGCCCCGAUAAUGAUGUUCCAUGAUACUACAUUCUUUUCUGGUAUCAGAAUAAAGAUGUCCAUGGCAAUUUCAACAGCACCACAUUUUGCAUACAUGUCCAUAAGGGAAUUAAAAAGGGUUACACUGGGUGCAAUAUUGCUGUUGCAAAUGUAAUUAUGGGUUUUCCUUCCAAUGACCAAAUCGCCAAUUUGACUGCAGGAUGAAAGGACAGAAACCAAGGUAGCCUCAUCAGGCACCACACUCGAAUUAAGCAUUUUCUGGAAUAGAUCCAAAGCCACCCUGCACUGGCCUUCCCGUACAUAAUAUGAGAUCAUUGAAUUCCAAGAAACCACAUUUUUAUGUGGCAUCUGGUUGAAAAACUCCUGGGCAAAUUCAAUGAGCCCAUGUUUAGUGUAUGCUCUAACCAUUGACGUCCAGGAAACCACAUUUUUGUGAGUCAUUUGAUCAAAAAUCUUUCGUGCCAAGUGCAAAUGCCCACACUUGGCAUACAUAUCCAGAAGAGCAUUUCUCACAAUUUGGUCAAUUUCAAUCCCACUAACCUCAAUAAAAAGAUGCACAUAUCUUCCCAACUCCAAAUCACAAGCUUGUGAACAAACAGAGAGUAAAUUAACCAAAGUAAACUUAUCAGGCUCAACCCCCAGAUCUCUCAUCUCCCUAAACAACAACAGAGCCUCCUUGCACGAACCCAUUCUAGCAUAGCCACCGAUCAUUGAAUUCCAUGAAACCAGACUCCUCUCAGACAUAUCAUCAAACACAUUCUGAGCACACCGGAUCAACCCCCGAACACUAUAGACAGUAAUAAGGGCAUUUUGCACGCAAACUUGAGACUCAAUUCCUAGUUUAAUAGCCUGGCCAUGAACAGCCACGGCUUCCCAAUAUGCGGACUGUCCCACGCAAACCUUGAGCACAAAGGGCAACGUGAACUCGUUUGGUGAAAGACCUGAACCAACCAUUUGGCAGUAGAGUGAAAAGGCCUUAAAUGGGUCAUUACUAUUUGAGUAACCCCUUAUAAGACUAUUGUACAUAAACUUAUUUGGCUCAGGAAUUUGGUCGAACACAAGCUGGGCGUAGCGGAGAUUUCUGGGAUCGGAGACGGAGCAGAAGGAUAUGAGUUUUCCGAGGGUGAGGUUUUCGCUUGUGAGGCUGUGGAGGAUGAUUAGGGCGUGGAGCUGUUUGAGUUCUCUCAUGGAGGAGCAUUGCUCAAGGAGGAGAUGCAGGGUUUGGUGAGUGGAGUUUUUGAAUUCGUGGGCGAAAUUGGUGGGCUUUGGAGGGAGAGUGGGGUGUAGAGAGUGAAAGAAGCGGGAAGCAACGGUCGGAUUUUUGGGAGUAAAGAACAUGGCCGUUGGAAUUUUGGUUUGGAGGCAAAUGUAACGGUAUUAUGAAUUAUAAAGAUACCUUGUUUUUUGUUUGGGAAAUGUUAUUAGCACUCCAAAAAUCACAUUCUACACUCCUCAUAAGUGUAUUUUUCUUUCUAAUUAUAGAAAGUUUGGAGUUCAAAAUGAAAUUUUUGGAAUGCCAACAACAAUUCCCUUUUAUUUGGGUUGAAAAAUAUCAUAUUGCAAAAACAACUAGCGUUUAAUUUGUAUGGAAGAUCUCCAAACGAAUCAUUGUGCAAGCUUAAUUUGAACCCCUCUUCACUAAAAUGGACAUCGCCUAAAAAACAAAGCCAUAUUAUUAAUUUUUAUUUGAAUGUAUGAUUUAGAUUGACAGUCUAAUAAGAGAAAGUACAACCCACAAUGGUGCCAUUCAUAAUGUUAGUGUUAUAUGUUCUAAACCAAAUGACCCAUAUGUAAAGUUGUUGAAUUAUCGGAUAGACGGCCCAAAGAUCCACUUCCAACAACAUUGAUAUUGUCAUCAACUUGGUAAUUACCACAUACACAAUCUGUCAAGUGUGGGGUUUUAUCAUAAAAGACCUCGGUAUUAGUUGGAGUGGAGUUAAGAUAUUUAAACUCUUCUUUUUACAGAGAUACAGUCGAUGUGGGAUAUUUCAACGCCCCCUCACGUGAGACUCAAUUAGUGGGUCACACGUAAGAGAUUCACACAUCGGCGACCACAUAGAGCCAAGACAACUCACCCUACACGCGGGGCCAAGGGACUCACCAUCAUGGAGUAUAUUUUAACAUGCCCCCUCACGUGGGAUCAAUUAGUGGGUCACACGUAACGUGGAGCCAAGGGAACUCACCCUACACGCGAGGCCAAGGGACCCACCAUCAUCGUCCCUGGCUCUGAUACCAUGUAAAAUUAUCAGAGAGACGGGUCAAAUGCCCACUUCCAACAACAUCGAUAUUGUUCUCAACUUGUUAAAUAUCACUUGCACAGUCCAACAUGUGUAGGAAUUUAUACAAAAAAAGCUUCAAUAUUAGUUGGAGUAGAGUUAAGAGUAUUAAAAUUUUUAUUUUAACAAAAAUACGGUCGAUGUGAGAUAUUUCAACAAAAACUUCUUGCAAAUAUGGUUACAGGUGUCACUUGCAUUUACAAGUGAUUAGAAAAACAACUUAUUCCUUCUUCAUAAAAUACAACUCAAAAUAACUUUGUAAUAUACAUUUCUCAAAGCUUCAUCUCAGACGACCCUAUUUGUAUCUCCUAAAAGUUUCUGCAUAUGACACCAUUGUUUCAAUUUCGGCGGAGCUCAUUUUCUGUAUAUGACACAACAGCCGGCAAGACUUUUACAAAGAAGGAAGAAGCCAAAGAUUGAAUAGAGAGGAACCUAGUGAAAGAAACCAAGAAAGGAAAGCCAUUGCAGCAGAUAACUGAUAUCUAGUACAUAACUUGGCAGGGCAGUAGGAUCUACCGAGAUGAAGUAGGAGAUAUGUGGUACUAGCCGUUGAGCAAGCUGCAGCGAGUGAGAGAUAUGACAACGCCUGUGAUGAAACGAACAUAAUAUAUUCUUAAGUUGGGAAAACGAAGAAUUUGUUCUUAAUGAGAUAAAUAAGUUUAUAGACAAAAACACAUACCAAGUCUCCUAAAAUAAUUAUUGUAGUUAUUCUUGGUCGACGAGGCAAAUAUCUAAAGAAGACAGAGUAGACAUCCACGAUCAUCAACGUCAUGCUCCAUGGAACUACCAAACCCAUUACUGUCACCAAAUAGCUGCAACGCAAGCAAUGGUAAGAGUUACUACUAUAUAUUAAUAAAAAAGUUCUCGUUGAGCACUUUCAUCUCCUUCAUUUUGCAAACGUGAAAUAACCGAGACAACAUAAAUCUGGUAAUGGCUAUAAUGGACAAUUCAAAUAGCACCAUAGAAUCAUUUCAGUUUACAGAUUAGAACAUGAAGAAACAAACGUUGCAGGAAAAGUGACUUGAAUUUGUUAGGUUUUAGAAGUUGAAAAGUUCUUAACUGUUAAAAUUUCUAGCUCUUCGCCACAAGACUUUUAGAGAUGGUAAUAUUUUACAGGUUCGAGAAGACACCAAUAAGGACAAGUUCAGGGUGAGGUUAUUGAUUGGAAGUACAUUUGGAGCAAUGGAAGCAACACAUACAGUUGAACACAGUAGACUUCUUUGGACAUGUCAUUAGAGCAUAAAUUCUUAAAGACUAAGUCAAUGACCAACAAAAACAGACGUGCAAAAUUAGCUUUGUGAGAAAAAGAAAAAAAGUCAACUAAGAGCAGAUGAUACCACAAUGUUCUACAAUGAGAGUUUACAGAGUCUUUUCAUUUCCAUGAGAGUUUACGCUUAAAAUGUUUGAAGGCUGAAAGAUUUUGCUUCCAAUUCUCUGUUGAGUUUUUGGUUUCGAAUCUAGAUUCACAUCUUACGGGCCAUAAAACCAGUUAAGUCUAUCAAGAAGCGGUUUUGAUGCUCUACAAUGUUCUGAUGACUUCAAAGCUGCUAAAAUUCGAUAGUGAAUUACAGAGUCCUAAACAGUUCAUUCUCUACAAAAAAUUCCAACAUAUUUACUUGCUCAAUUAGGAGAAACUUAGAAACAGUUGCAUAUACUGAAAAUUCUUCAUCAGUAAGCCCAACUAUAUAUUAUUAUAAUCUUUUGCAUGUAUAGAAUAUGUUAAAUUUUAACCAGUUCAAUCUCCAUAUGAUCUUUACAGAAACACAGUUUCCAGUUCUUAACAAAGCCAAAAGUCAAUAUCCAGCCCAAGAAAUCAAAACAGAAUUGCCAUCAAAUUCAGAAACAGAGACAUGGGUAUUGAACAACAAGUCAAAAUCACAAAAGGGUCCGAUGAAAUUCAACUAAGAAACUCCAAAUUCGAAGAAUUCGAAAGUACCAGAAGGCGGUGUAGCUGUAGAACUCGACGUCCAAGCACAUGAAGAGAAGGGAGGCAGUGGAGAAGAUGGUCUGCCCGAAUCGCAGAGCCAAGCUGGCGCUGGUUCCCAACGACCCCGGCAGUUCAUCCAUGCUUGCAAUUGCAUGCAGCAGCAACAACAACAAGAACUCCUCAUGGUAAACGAAAUUCAAGAACAAUUCUUCUCAGCCACAUGACCAAAUAGUUGUGGCAAAAAUGGAGUUCCAAAUAAUUUUGGGGAAAUAUGGGAACUGGGUUUUGAAGGGGGAGAGGAGGACUUGCUUUGGUGGGAAGAAUGGUAAUGGGAAUGUGAAUCGUUGUGGUGAAUUGUCAAGGAAAAGGAGUGUUGGGGAGAAAAGAAAACAAAAGUGAGAGAGACGUAAAGGGUACGCAGAUUUUGGUGGGUUUUUUGGCUUUGGCUUUGGCAUCUCCUCCAUCAUUUGGGCAUAAAUGGUAUAAUGUUCUUAUCGGGUAGGCAGGGAGUGCGGCAUCUUCUCCUUCAUUUCAUCCCGCUUAAUUUAUUAUUAUUAUUAUUAUUAUUAUUAAUUUUAUUAUAAGCGAUAUUAUUACUCCGUUUAUAUUUGUAUUUACAUAGGGUUUAAUUCUAAAUAAGUUUUAAAAAAUAUAAUCAUAGAGAGUGACUAUAUGACACAUAUAUACAAUCACAAUGAUGUUUGUGCACCAAUGAAAUAAAAACAUAUAUAAAUUUUAUUCAUAUAUUCUUAUUUCAUUGGCAUGUGGUGAUGUACCCGUAAUUUCUCAACCAUUAGGGCAAAACCCAAAAAUUAUUAGGUGGAUAAAAAUAGUGUUUUUUCUCUUUUUCUUUUUCCUCAAUAAGGUUCUUUGAAUCAAAGCGUAUAAAGUAAGGGAAUUGGCUUUAAAUUUGCUAUUAUAUGUCUUUGUUUUAUUUUGCAUGAUUAAUUGCCGAGUGUAUUUUAAUACAGGUUGGAUACAAAAGAACCAAAAAGUAGUACAAAGCUCAAAUGAAACUUAACAAACUUCAUUUCUCACUUAACAUGUAUUUGAUCUUCAUGAACACAACCCAGUUGGUUUACGACUUUACUAUCACUUACAAGUGAAAAAAGACGAUAAGUCAAAUAUAAUUAGAUUUCAAACUUAACAGUGAUAUUAUACAUCUUUAUCAUUCAUGUAAGUCAAAAUUUAGACCUCUACUUAUGAGCGACAAAAAAAAUAUUACUAAACCAUUUUUUUUAGGAAUUUUAACGAAAAACUCACGGUACUAUUCACUUUAACCAAAAAUCAUAUUUUUACACUAAAAAGUCAAUCAUGGUACUAUUCACUUUACCUCUUAUUUUGUCUUUAUCAUUAAAAAUCAAAGUUUUUAAACCCUUUUCAUUAGUUUUGCUUUUUUUUUUUAGUUUUUCUUCUUUAUUAUUUUUAAAGUCUAUAUGAAUGUAGCUUUGUCAACAUGUUAUCUUUUACCCAAAUCACAUCAUUUUACUAGUAAUAUUAUAAAAAUUGAGACAAUGUCUAUUGAAGAACUAAUAUUUAAUUAAAUGUUUGAUGCUUUUCAUUUAAACUAAUAUACAAUAAUUUCCCAAAUAUCAUGGUUCAAUGGUCUCUUUCAUAGAGGGUUUAAAUAUUAUUUCAUAUAUGAAUAUAAUAUAAUUACUUUCAAGUUUUGCCAUACAAAACACAGAGAAUUAUAAUCACACAUUUAAAAAAUAAAUAAAUAAAGUUUGACAAUCUUGAAGAGAAUACUACCAAAUGCAUGUCACUCAGUCCAAAUGUCCAAUUUGUGUGGCUCACCAACCACAUAAAAGGAUAUGAGAAAGCAAUUAGCGUAAAAAGAUGAUGUCGAUGAUCAUAAUUUAUUAUAAUCAAUAUUGCUCGUUACUUUUUCACAGCAAAUCGUUGUCUGACGCAUUUAUAAAAGAAACAGUUUUUACGCAUGUCAAAUUUUGACGUAUAAUGAUUUACCGUUAAAGAAGUUUGACUCCUUAAAAGAUAAUGUACAAGAAAGAUAAUACAUACAAGAUAAUAGGCAUGAUAAUAUACAAGAAGAUAAUGAUCUGAGUGAUCUCAGUGCUUGUUGUUCAAUUGGGUUACAAAGAGAGUUGAGCAACACCUUUUUAACUUAUAGCAAAAUCUGAAACCCAGAAUCACCAUUAAUACAUAGAGGAAAACGAAACUAAUCAAGCUGAGCAUACCAAACUCCCUGGAUUUUGACAUCCUUUGGAGUCUUGGCUCCCAAGUCAGUGUCGGAUGGCUGAAGGCUCUCGAACACCCCAAUCAACUCACCAGUCUCAGGCUUGGUCUUUGUCACACUCAGUGUUAUCUUCCCCUUCGAUGCUGCUGUAUUCUUGGUGUUCUCCUUUGCCAGCUCCUCCUC